CAAGGCUAAAACUCAAAGGAAUUGACGGGGACCCGCACAACCUGUGGAGCGUGUGGUUCAAUUCGAGACAAAACGAAAAACCUCACCAGGACUUGACAUGUUAUCGUUUAUUCUGAUGGAAACAUCGGGAAAUCCGCAAGGAUGAUAGCACAGGUGCUGCAUGGCUGUCGUCAGCUCGUGCCGUGAGGUGUUCCCUUAAGUGGGGAAACGAGCGCAACCCCUAUUCAAUGUUAAAUAUUCAUUGGAGACAGCCCCGUCCUUUUGCUAAAGAAGGUCUUUGGAAUUUCCAAAGUGCAAGCCGUAAGGCGCCUUCGGCUUUCAGAUACGAAAGUUAGAAGUGAUCGUUGGCAAAAGGACGGGGAGGAAGGAGGGGAAGACGUCAAGUCAGCACGGCCCUUAUGUCCUGGGCUACACACACACUACAAUGGCGAAAAACAAUGGGCUGCAAGCCGGUAACGGCAAGCUAAUCCCUGAAAUUUCGUCUCAGUUCAGAUUGUGGGCUGAAACCCGCCCGCAUGAAGUUGGAAUAGGUAGUAAUCGCGGAUCAGCAUGCC
rnacentral:rRNA from 1 species